rnacentral:lncRNA from 1 species
UGCAGGAGCAGAGGAGGCUUCCCUCAGUCACAGGAUUGUCUUUCUAGCAUCCUAGGUUGCAAGCGCUUUCGACUCUGGUGAGGGGGAGCACUCAGUGAGACCCAGGAGACCUUGAUUUCAAAUGGAUUGGCUUUGCUUUCUGUUCACAUUAGCAAAGGUGCCACUGAUGAGCCCUGAGGACAUUAAAACCCAGAACACAUAAACCAGGAUGAGAAAUUAAUCAGAAGAUGAAAGAUGGCGGCUUCAGGGACACUGGCUGAGCCUUCUGCAUGCUCCUGGGACCUCAUUUCAGACCAGCAGUACCAUCCCGUGCUGUGAUGAUGACUUAUAUGUAGACAUCACCUCUGCUGGUGGACAGCCUUCUGAUCUGCUGAGUCCCUUCACAGCAAAUCAAAGAAAACAUGACAAAACGCCAUAAACCCAUGCCUUCCCCUGUGUGUCACAGCCUGGUGGCUGGAACAGUUUGUUCAAAAAGAUC